rnacentral:rRNA from 1 species
GACGUAGGGCGCGAGCGUUGUCCGGAUUUAUUGGGCGUAAAGCGCGUGCAGGCGGUUCGUUAAGUCCGGUGUGAAAGCUCCCGGCUCAACUGGGAGAGGUCACUGGAUACUGGCGGACUCGAGGGAGGCAGAGGAAGGUGGAAUUCCCGGUGUAGUGGUGAAAUGCGUAGAGAUGUGGAGGAACACCGAUGGCGAAGGCAGCCCCCUGGGUUAACACUGACGCUCAGGCACGAAAGCGUGGGGAGCAAACAGG